AUCAACGCUGGCGGCGUGCCCAACACAUGCAAGUCGAACGCGAAAGCUCCCUGCAAGGGGAUGCAGUACAGUGGCGCACGGGUGAGUAACACGUGACUAAUCUACCUUUGCAGUGGGGGAUAACACUCGAGAAAUCGGGGCUAAGACCGCAUAAUGCAUCGCACCGAUGGUGACAUCCUUGUGAGCAAGGGGGAUCCAAGACGCUCGCGUCUAGAGGGGGCCUGCGUCCGAUUAGCUAGUUGGGGUAGGUAACGGCCUUACCAAGGCGAUGAUCGGUAGCCGGCCUGAGAGGGCGGUACGGUCCACACUGGACACUGACAUACGGGUCCAGACUCCUACGGGAGGCAGCAGUCGGGGAAUUUUGGGCAAUGGGCGAAAGCCUGACCCAGCAACGCCGCGUGAAGGAUGAAAUCCCUCGGGAUGUAAACUUCGCAAGAACGGGAAGAAUAAGUUGGUGUGAAUAUCACCAGCGAUGACGGUACCGUUUGUAAGCUCCGGCUAACUCCGUGCCAGCAGCCGCGGUAAUACGGGGGGGAGCAAGCGUUGUUCGGAUUUACUGGGCGUAAAGGGCGGGUAGGCGGCCACCGCAAGUCAGUUGUGAAAUCUCCGGGCUUAACCCGGAAAGGUCAACUGAUACUGCGGGGCUAGAGUGCAGAAGGGGCAACUGGAAUUCUCGGUGUAGCGGUGAAAUGCGUAGAUAUCGAGAGGAACACCUGCGGCGAAGGCGGGUUGCUGGGCUGACACUGACGCUGAACUGCGAAAGCUAGGGGAGCGAACGGGAUUAGAUACCCCGGUAGUCCUAGCCUUAAACGAUGAAUGCUUGGUGUCUGGGGUUUUAUAGUCCCCGGGUGCCGUCGCUAACGCUUUAAGCAUUCCGCCUGGGGAGUACGGUCGCAAGACUGAAACUCAAAGGAAUUGACGGGGGCCCGCACAAGCGGUGGAGCAUGUGGUUCAAUUCGACGCAACGCGAAGAACCUUACCUGGGCUCGAAGCGCAGGGGACCGGGGUGGAAACAUCCCUUUCCGCAAGGACUCCUGCGGAGGUGCUGCAUGGCUGUCGUCAGCUCGUGUCGUGAGAUGUUGGGUUAAGUCCCGCAACGAGCGCAACCCUUAUCGCUAGUUGCCAGCGGGUCAAGCCGGGCCCUCUAGCGAAACCGCCCCGGAUAACGGGGAGGAAGGUGGGGAUGACGUCAAGUCCUCAUGGCCUUUAUGUCCAGGGCUACACACGUGCUACAAUGGUCGGUACAAACCGUCGCAAAUCCGCGAGGAUGAGCUAAUCGGAAAAAGCCGGCCUCAGUUCGGAUUGGAGUCUGCAACCCGACUCCAUGAAGCUGGAAUCGCUAGUAAUCGCAGAUCAGCACGCUGCGGUGAAUACGUUCCCGGGCCUUGUACACACCGCCCGUCACAUCACGAAAGUGGACUGUACUAGAAGUCGGUGAGCCAACCGCAAGGAGGCAGCCGCCCAAGGUAUAGGUUCAUGAUUGGGGUG
rnacentral:rRNA from 1 species